rnacentral:lncRNA from 1 species
AUUCCUGGUGUGGGCAGAGCUUGUCUAGCACUGCACCUGGCCAGGGCAAGAGGCCCUUCACAUGUGUUUUGUGUGUGUUUUUUCAAUUAGGAAACUUAAUUUUUUUUUGAACAGUUUUAAAUUUACAGAACAACUGAGUGGAAAGUACAGGGAGUUCCCAUAUAUGCUCUCACGCCUACCCACACAUAUGCACACACAGCCAUUUUCCCUAUUACUAACAUCUUGCAUCAGCAUGAAACAUUUGCUACAAUUGAUGAGCCAAUAUUGAUAACAUGAUUUUUAACUAAAGUUCAUAGAUUGCAUUAGGGUUCAUUAGGGUUCACUUGGUGAU